rnacentral:lncRNA from 1 species
UUCUCACACUGGGUGCAUAGAUCAGAGUACUCCAAAUCGCUACAAUCCGCUUUCACUUUGCUCUUAGCAGGCAAACCGAUUUUGACCCAUUGCUCAAUGAAAUCACUUGGUUCCAUCAUCUGGUAUGGACAUGAGUCCUUUAAUUCCACCACAACAACUGUGCCCAAUAACUACAAUGUUCUCCACCUGAAAGUACAACGUUAA